GUACUACUCCCUCCGUCCGGAAAUACUUGCCGAAGAAAUGCAUAAAAAUGGAUAUAACUAGAACUAAAAUACGUCUAGAUACAUUCAUUCUUCCGACAAAUAUUUUCAGAUGAAGGGAGUAUUUU
rfam:Triticum aestivum genome assembly, contig: Triticum_aestivum_CS42_TGACv1_scaffold_131346_2BL